UGUCUGGGAAACUGCCUGAUGGAGGGGGAUAACUACUGGAAACGGUAGCUAAUACCGCAUAACGUCGCAAGACCAAAGUGGGGGACCUUCGGGCCUCAUGCCAUCAGAUGUGCCCAGAUGGGAUUAGCUAGUAGGUGGGGUAACGGCUCACCUAGGCGACGAUCCCUAGCUGGUCUGAGAGGAUGACCAGCCACACUGGAACUGAGACACGGUCCAGACUCCUACGGGAGGCAGCAGUGGGGAAUAUUGCACAAUGGGCGCAAGCCUGAUGCAGCCAUGCCGCGUGUGUGAAGAAGGCCUUCGGGUUGUAAAGCACUUUCAGCGGGGAGGAAGGCGGUGAGGUUAAUAACCUCAUCGAUUGACGUUACCCGCAGAAGAAGCACCGGCUAACUCCGUGCCAGCAGCCGCGGUAAUACGGAGGGUGCAAGCGUUAAUCGGAAUUACUGGGCGUAAAGCGCACGCAGGCGGUCUGUCAAGUCGGAUGUGAAAUCCCCGGGCUCAACCUGGGAACUGCAUUCGAAACUGGCAGGCUAGAGUCUUGUAGAGGGGGGUAGAAUUCCAGGUGUAGCGGUGAAAUGCGUAGAGAUCUGGAGGAAUACCGGUGGCGAAGGCGGCCCCCUGGACAAA
rnacentral:rRNA from 1 species